rnacentral:rRNA from 1 species
UACGUAGGUGUCGAGCGUUGUCCGGAUUUAUUGGGCGUAAAGAGCCCGCAGGCGGCUUGGCAAGUUUGAGGUGAAAUCUCCCGGCUUAACUGGGAGGGGGCCUCGAAAACUGCCAGGCUUGAGGCAUGGAGAGGGAUGCGGAAUUCCCGGUGUAGUGGUGAAAUGCGUAGAUAUCAGGAGGAACACCGGUGGUGUAAACGGCUUUCUGGACCAUAACUGACGCUGAGGCACGAAAGCGUGGGUAGCAAACAGG